GCCCACUGAAUUUUUUUUAAAGGCCGCAGUAUUUUAACUGUGCUAAGGUAGCGUAAUCAUUUGUUCCUUAAUUAGGGACUAGUAUGAAUGGCCUAACGAGGAAACAACUUUUUUUAAUUUAAUUAAUGAAAUUUACCUUUUAGUUAAAAGGCUAAAAUAUCUUAAAAAGACGAGAAGACCCUGCAGAGUUUAACAAAGAAAAUUUUUAAAAAUAAAUAAAUAUAAAUCUUUUUAUAAAUCUAUUUGUUUGAUUGGGGUGAUCAAAAAAUAAAUAAAACUUUUUAAUUUUAUCAACUUUUUAGAAGAAAUAAUGAUCCGAUUUUAACGAUUAAAAGAAAAAAUUACCUUAGGGAUAACAGCGUUAUACUUAUUGAGAGUUCUUAUCGACAUAAGUGUUUGCGACCUCGAUGUUGGACUAAAAAAACCUUAUAAUGCAGCAGUUAUAAAGGUAGGUCUGUUCGACCUUUAAAUUUUUACAUGAUCUGAGUUCAGACCGGCGUAAGCCAGGUUG
rnacentral:rRNA from 1 species